CGCCUGGGGAGUACGGCCGCAAGGUUAAAACUCAAAUGAAUUGACGGGGGCCCGCACAAGCGGUGGAGCAUGUGGUUUAAUUCGACGCAACGCGAAGAACCUUACCUGGCCUUGACAUCCAGAGAGCUUUCCAGAGAUGGAUUGGUGCCUUCGGGAACCCUGAGACAGGUGCUGCAUGGCCGUCGUCAGCUCGUGUCGUGAGAUGUUGGGUUAAGUCCCGUAACGAGCGCAACCCCUAUCCCUGGUUGCUAGCAGGUAAUGCUGAGAACUCCAGGGAGACUGCCGGUGACAAACCGGAGGAAGGUGGGGAUGACGUCAGGUCAUCAUGGCCCUUACGGCCAGGGCUACACACGUGCUACAAUGGCGCGUACAGAGGGCUGCCAACUCGCGAGAGUGAGCCAAUCCCUUAAAACGCGUCGUAGUCCGGAUCGGAGUCUGCAACUCGACUCCGUGAAGUCGGAAUCGCUAGUAAUCGCGAAUCAGAAUGUCGCGGUGAAUACGUUCCCGGGCCUUGUACACACCGCCCGUCACACCAUGGGAGUGGAUUGCACCAGAUGUAGUUAGUCUAACCUUCGGGAGGACGAUUACCACGGUGUGGUUCAUGACUGGGGUGAAGUCGUAACAAGGGUAACCGUA
rnacentral:rRNA from 1 species